CAUUAUAAGUUAAACAACUUCUUUAUUGUAUUUCACGUUCCAUGUUUUGAUUGAAUAACUUUCUAAAAAUGAGCAGCCUUUUGAGAGCAGCUUGCACAGUUAUUACUCCUCACAUAAGGAGCAAUAUUACACUGGUGAAUCGCGCAGUAAGGGAUCUGUCGACUGGAAUUGUAAGAAAGCCUUUGCUUCAACCUAUUAAAUUUAAACCCCCUACUGUUCGAGUAUGUCAUAGCCAAACGGUAGCGGUAACCCGUGGUGGCGAGAAGGCAGUUGGAAAAUGGCUUAUCGUAUGUGGUGGCAUGGUCUAUUUAGCUGUUGUACUGGGUGGGGUAACACGUCUAACUGAAUCGGGUCUCUCAAUGGUUACCUGGAAGCUUUUGGGUGAAAAAUUUCCACGCACCCAAGCCGAAUGGGAGGAAGAAUUUCGUUUGUACCAACAAUAUCCAGAAUUUAAAAUGAAAAAUCAAAAUAUGACAGUAGAUGAAUUUCGCAGAAUCUUCUGGAUGGAAUAUAUGCAUCGCAUGUGGGGACGAGCCAUUGGCGCUGUUUUCCUAUUACCUGCUGCAUAUUUUUGGAAAAAAGGCCAUCUAAAUUCAACAACUAAAAAAUUUGUACUUCUCAUGGGCACUUUAAUAGGCUGCCAAGGUUUAAUGGGUUGGUACAUGGUGAAAUCUGGCCUUGAAAAUCGUUUCGAUGAUGUCAAUGAUGUACCCAGAGUUUCGCAACAUCGUUUGGCCAUGCAUUUAGGUGCUGCAUUUGUACUCUACACCCUAUUCCUAUCGCAAGGGCUUAAGAAACUUUUACCAGCCGAAGAAUUUGCAGUGGCUAGCAUGAAAACUUUGCGCUUCAAACGUUUCGCUUAUGCAGCGAAGGGUUUGAUUUUCUUAACUGCCUUAUCCGGAGCUUUUGUAGCUGGUCUAGAUGCUGGUUUGGUGUAUAAUUCAUUUCCAAAAAUGGGUGAUAAUUGGGUGCCCGAUGAAAUAUUGGCUUUUAGACCUUUAAGCAAAAACAUUACCGAAAAUCCUACAACAGUGCAAUUUAAUCAUCGCAUUUUGGGUGUAUCCACAGUGACUUUGGUGACAGCCAUGUGGUUAUUGUCCAAAGGCACAAGACUACCCAGAAGAGCCUAUUGGGCCAUGAAUUCUGCGGCAUUUAUAGCAUGGUUGCAAGUGACUCUAGGCAUAACUACUUUACUAACACAUGUACCUGUUUCACUGGCGGCAGCGCAUCAAUCUGGCUCUCUGUUAUUGUUAUCAUUUGCUGUUUGGCUGUGUCAUGAAUUAAGAUUCUUAAAGUAUUUACCCAAAUAAAUUAGAAAAACGCAUAUGGACUUGUACAUAAGGAUAAAAUAAAGUAUUAAAAAUAAAACUAUAAUAAGGUAUAUUAUGGCAGACAUCACACUUUAAAAUUAAUUGAAUCUUUUUUUAAGAUAUACUAUGGCAGACAGCAAUCUGUAAAUAGUUGUUUGUCAUGAAGCAGUGUGUUGUACACAGAGGCGGCAACUCUUGCCGACGAAGGACUCCAUCAGGUCAAUCCGGUACGUACAACCGGCUGCCUUGGGAUUGAUUUGUAAAUGGCGCCCACUGUUACCCCACCCACUCAAACCACCUGAUGUCUUUAAAGUAAACUUAAAAACAAGUUUCGUAUGAUCUGCUAGGUUAUCCAAAACAAACCAAUAAAACAAAAUUGAUAUGAAAAAUUAAGACAAGAAUUCUAAGAAUAAAUCACCAUUUACUGUGACUUGA